ensembl:lncRNA CYP1B1-AS1 CYP1B1 antisense RNA 1
AGAACUACAGGCUACACAGAGGAGAAGGGAGCCAGGCCACCUUUCCCAUGCAUCCCACUCCUUGAACAGAAAGAGCAACUAAAAAGGGAGGCAGGAGUUCUAAGCACCAUCUUUUUUUCACCAGUACAGUUUCCAAGAUCUUGCUGCUAUGAAAAUAAAGAUCUCCUAAUAUUUAUAGUACUUGAGGCAGCACUGAGAAGUGAAGGAAUAUUUGGGAGGAUCAGAAGCUUGGUCCUGAUUUUGCCAUCAACAGGAACUUGAUGACUUCAAGGGAGUCCCCAAACCCUGGGUUUCUGUUUUCUCAACUCUAACAUGAGGGGCUAGAUGCAUCUGGUUUAGUUAGUCUCCAUGAUGGUUUAGUUCGUCUCCAUGAUCCUGUGAAUUUCAGAUGUUGAAAAUCUUCGGAAAAGCCCUGAAAGAUGAACAGUCUUCACCAACCUCCUCCCUCCAGAAUAUUCCUCAAGAAUAUAAAAUGCCUCAUCAACAUGAGACAACAGCAGGAAGCACCCAUUCGUAGUAAUCCUCUGUAUGGAGGAGGCUGUUACAUAACCACAAAGGCACAAAGCUGCAGUUUUGAGAACAUCUUCCCACGCCAGUUCUAAGCAUUGACUUCAACUAUGGUUGCUAACACAAGAAUCGGCACUGGUGACUUUUGAGCCAUCAAUCAUCCUUUCCUAACACAUGAAUCUUUUGGAAAAUGGUCUCAAAUAGUCAAGACCCCCUGCUGGGAGGAGCUUCUAUCCUGCUCUGUGGAA